rnacentral:lncRNA from 1 species
AAAAAUGGCUACAAAUGGAGCAUUACAGAAAACCAGAUCUUGUUGGGGGAUGAAUACAUAUCACAUAUAAAUGCUACAAAAACUUAUUAUACAAAACUUUGAAGCCUUAAUAUCCCCAGCAAAAUCAAAAUAAAACUAUGGAGAAUCACUAAAAACUAUUUGCCUACGUUGUGUAAUCUAAAGCUAAGGAAGCUGAGAACCAACGCUCUCUGCCCGGUCUACGGAGA